rnacentral:rRNA from 1 species
AACGAACGCUGGCGGCAUGCCUAACACAUGCAAGUCGAACGAGACCUUCGGGUCUAGUGGCGCACGGGUGCGUAACGCGUGGGAACCUGCCCUUAGGUUCGGAAUAACUCUCCGAAAGGGGUGCUAAUACCGGAUAAUGUCUUCGGACCAAAGGUUUAUCGCCUUUGGAUGGGCCCGCGUUGGCUUAGCUAGUUGGUAGGGUAAAAGCCUACCAAGGCGACGAUCCAUAGCUGGUCUGAGAGGAUGAUCAGCCACACUGGGACUGAGACACGGCCCAGACUCCUACGGGAGGCAGCAGUGGGGAAUAUUGGACAAUGGGCGAAAGCCUGAUCCAGCAAUGCCGCGUGAGUGAUGAAGGCCUUAGGGUUGUAAAGCUCUUUUACCCGGGAUGAUAAUGACAGUACCGGGAGAAUAAGCUCCGGCUAACUCCGUG